GGAUGUGGCUCAGCAGUAGAGUGCUUGCCUAGUAUAUGUAAGGCCCUGGGUUCAAUUCCCAGUACCA
rnacentral:tRNA from 1 species